rnacentral:rRNA from 1 species
AGUGAACGCUGGCGGCGUGCUUAACACAUGCAAGUCGAACGAGAACGGAUUAUAGCUUGCUAUAAUUGUCAGCUAAGUGGCGCACGGGUGAGUAAUGUAUAGGUAAUAUGCCUCUUACUAAGGGAUAACAAUUGGAAACGUUUGCUAAUACCUUAUACUCCUUAUUAACAGAAGUUAAUAAGGGAAAGAUUUAUUGGUAAGAGAUUAGCCUGUAUUGUAUCAGUUAGUUGGUGGGGUAAUGGCCUACCAAGACUAUGACACAUAACUGGUUUGGGAGGAUGAUCCGUCACACUGGAACUGAGACACGGUCCAGACUCCUACGGGAGGCAGCAGUGGGGAAUAUUGCACAAUGGACGAAAGUCUGAUGCAGCAACGCCGCGUGGAGGAUGACACAUUUCGGUGCGUAAACUCCUUUUAUAUGAGAAGAUAAUGACGGUAUUAUAUGAAUAAGCACCGGCUAACUCCGUGCCAGCAGCCGCCGUAA